rnacentral:misc_RNA from 1 species
GUCCUCUCUCUCUAAAAUCCCCCUCUCUUCACUGUCUCUCAAUCUGUAUCCUCUCCAUGGAAAACCCUCCAAACACCAGACUUUCAAUUUACAUUGUAGAUCGUUCCAUAAAGAUGGCAACAGAUGCCAGCCAUAGUUGAAAUUGCACAUCUGCUACAACAGACUUUCAAUUUACAUUAUUUCAGCAGAUUGAUGAAAUGGAGGGAGAGAAUGCAAAGAAUCAUAUUGCAAUAGUCAUUCAUUCAAAAGUUUCUAUUACAACAACUCAACUCAAUUCAACU